rnacentral:rRNA from 1 species
GACGAACGCUGGCGGCGUGCUUAACACAUGCAAGUCGAACGGAAAGACCCUGCUUUUGUGGGGUGCUCGAGUGGCGAACGGGUGAGUAACACGUGAGUAACCUGCCCUUGACUUUGGGAUAACUUCAGGAAACUGGGGCUAAUACCGGAUAGGAGCUCCUGCUGCAUGGUGGGGGUUGGACAGUUUCGGCGGUUGGGGAUGGACUCGCGGCUUAUCAGCUUGUUGGUGGGGUAGUGGCUUACCAAGGCUUUGACGGGUAGCCGGCCUGAGAGGGUGACCGGCCACAUUGGGACUGAGAUACGGCCCAGACUCCUACGGGAGGCAGCAGUGGGGAAUAUUGCACAAUGGGCGGAAGCCUGAUGCAGCAACGCCGCGUGCGGGAUGACGGCCUUCGGGUUGUAAACCGCUUUCGCCUGUGACGAAGCGUGAGUGACGGUAAUGGGUAAAGAAGCACCGGCUAACUACGUG